rnacentral:rRNA from 1 species
AUUGAACGCUAGCGGGAUGCCUUACACAUGCAAGUCGAACGGAGUGGCGAACGGGUGAGUAAUGUAUCGGAACGUGCCCAGUCGCGGGGGAUAACUACGCGAAAGCGUAGCUAAUACCGCACACUAUUUGCGUGGCCGAUAUCGGAUUAGCCCUUGGGUGGGGUAACGGCUCACGAAGGCGACGAUCCGUAGCCGGUUGGAGAGGACGACCAGCCACACUGGGACUGAGACACGGCCCAGACUCCUACGGGAGGCAGCAGUGGGGAAUUUUGGACAAUGGGCGAAAUCCUGAUCCAGCCAUCCCGCGUGUGCGAUGAAGGCCUUCGGGUUGUAAAGUACUUUUAGCAGGAAAGCGGUACCUGCAGAAUAAGCACCGGCUAACUACGUGCCAGCAGCCGCGGUAAUAC